rnacentral:lncRNA from 1 species
CCCAGCUAGAAUGGCACGAUCUUAAAGUUCUACUUCCAUAGGAACCAUAAGCAGAGAGUGGACUCUUGGUAUAACCAGCUAGCAUGUAAUAUCCAUAGACUCAUGGCUCAGCAUGCAAAAGUGUGCCACAUUGUGCCUGGCCAAGUAUCCAGUCCCAUCAGACCCAUAUUGUAGAUGCCCUUCUGUGAGAUACCACACCAAAGUCUAAGCACACAGGAUCUUCAGCCUGGAAGAACUCAGGUUAGCCAGCAUCCAUUAGAAAGUAGCCCAGCCCACUAACAUCUCUGUGGUACCCAAGAAUGGGAAACAAAUUCACUCACUCACUCCUGGCCAACUUGUUCCUCUAGAAGGAGUACUGCUCCAAACUCCCUUGGGAGCAUUCUGCUCCAAGAAAGGAGGCAGUUCUGGUGAAGAAAUCACACUGGCCCCUUGCUUACAGGACCUGGGGUCAUCUUCCAUAAUAUCUACAGAGAAGAGAAAGUCAGAAUCAUCACAAAGAAAGAGAAGAGCCUCAAGGGUUUUUUGCCAGUUUUUACACGGCCCAUGCCAAUCCCCGACUCUUUGGCAUCAAAUAGAAAGGGCCAAAGUAGGUAUAGAGCAAAAUGUUAAGACAAAGUAA